UACCUCUUCGGCGAUACAUGUCUACUCGUCCAAAACCACUAUCAUCUAGUGUUCGGUAAAAAUUGUGCAUAUAUUACAUGUAAAAUUCCACUGCAUUUUUUGUGAUACUCCCUCCAUCUCUCUGUAACUAAGUUGUAUUACUUUUUGGUUUAUUCCACUGUAGCUAAGUCAUUUCCUUUUUUGGUAAAAAAGUAUUUUAUUCUCUCUUCGUCUCUCUAUAAUUUUUCUUAAAUCUCGUGCUAAAAAGAAAUGCUUUUAUUACAGAGAGACGGAGAGAGUAUAUUUUUUUUAAUUUCAGUCCCCGCUUGGUUAAAUUUUUGGUUCCAUCACUGCAUUCAGGGAUGGAGGGAGUACAAUAGGCCUCGUUUGAUUGCCCUGAUAGCCAUAGAUAGGGCAGCUUAUCUCGACACUAUCUAGUUUUUGAUCGCCCUGAUAGCGCUGCACAACGACCCGGGAUACAACCUCCAACCCGGUUGUAAUUAAGAUACAUAUCUGGAGAUGGUGUAUAUGCCUACCCAGGCUUUCGCCUCCGAUAGUCCUCUAUGCUACCGAUCCAGAUUUCGUCAACAACUACCCAUUGUCUAAAAGACCCCUCAUUUAGGUUUUGAAACAAUUUUUCAAGCAACUUGUUCGUCAAAAGCUUCUGUAGAACUGUCAAUUUUGCAACUUCGCCGACGAUUUUGAUAGCCCGCGCCGGUCCGUCGACGGAAAGCACUGUGAGCAAUCGAUUGCGCUGCGCCGGCGUUCUGGGAGCUAGUUUUUCCGUUGGAAAUACCGAAUUUGAGUCGCAUCUCCAUGGCCAACGAAGCUAAUUCCGGCAAAGUACGCAAAUAAUUCACCUACCACCAAUUGAACCCAAAUGAACUCACCUAUUUGCAGUAAAUUUAGAUAUCAAUAAUUCACCAAUUGUAGUUGUUUGUUUUUUGGGUAGCUAUGUGAAUUGAGUUUGCCCAAACUAAGUGCUUUGUGCUUCACUGUUUAGACUGGGAUUAUUUUUGUAUAAUUUGUGAAUUUAUUGAGCGAAUGGCAUUAUUACUGCUA